rnacentral:rRNA from 1 species
AGAGUUUGAUCAUGGCUCAGAAUCAACGCUGGCGGCGUGCCUAACACAUGCAAGUCGAACGCGAAAGUGGAGCAAUCCAUGAGUAGAGUGGCAAACGGGUGAGUAACGCGUGGGUGACCUACCUUCGAAUGGGGGAUAACGUCCCGAAAGGGACGCUAAUACCGCAUAACAUCCUGCCUUUGAACAGGUGGAGAUCAAAGCCGGGGAUCGCAAGACCUGGCGUUUGGAGAGGGGCCCGCGUCUGAUUAGCUAGUUGGUGAGGUAACGGCCCACCAAGGCGACGAUCAGUAUCCGGCCUGAGAGGGCGGACGGACACACUGGGACUGAGACACGGCCCAGACUCCUACGGGAGGCAGCAGUGGGGAAUUGUUCGCAAUGGGCGCAAGCCUGACGACGCAACGCCGCGUGGAGGAUGAAGGUCUUCGGAUUGUAAACUCCUGUUGCCAGGGACGAAAAGCUCCGACCUAACACGUCGGAGUCUGACGGUACCUGUAGAGCCCCGGAAUGUCCC